UACGAAGGGGGCUAGCGUUGCUCGGAAUCACUGGGCGUAAAGCGCACGUAGGCGGACUUACAGGUCAAUUGUGAAAUACCUGGGCUCAACCCAGGAACUGCAGUUGAAACCGUUUGUCUUGAAUACUUGAGAGGGUGGGGGAAUACCUGGUGGAGAAGUGAAAUUCGUAGAGAUCAGGUGGAACACCGGAGGCGAAGGCGCCUGCCUGGCAAUGUAUUGACGCUGAGGUGCGAAAGUGCGGGGAGCAAACAGG
rnacentral:rRNA from 1 species